AGUUAAGGGUUGAGGCUCAUCUUAUUUAAUAUUCAGUUGUUCCACCAAUAACUUCCCAGCAUGUGGGCUCAGCAGUUGCAGCAUGCAGGCCUUAGAGCACGUGGGCUUCAGUAGUUGCGGCUCGCUGGCUCUAGAGGGUAGGCUCAGUAGUUGUGGUGCAUGGGCUUAGCUGCUCUGUGGCAUGUGGUAUCUUCCCAGACCAGGAAUCGAUCCCAUGUCUCCUGCACUGGCAGGCAGAUUCUUAACCACUGAGCCACGAGGCAAUUCCCAUAAACUUUAAUAUAUUUUAAUCAACCAGUCUUUGUUCUUUUUUUUUUUAAGCCUGAGAAUUUUGGCAGGGACUGCAUAACUAUUAAUCAAUAUGGGGAGAAGAUACCUUAAACAAUAACUGAGUUUUCCAAUUCAUGAAUAUACAUCUUUUUAUUUAGGUUUAAUUAAUUAUUUUUGGCU